GUGCUUGUGGUGUAGUGGUUAUCACAUCCGCCUAACACGCGGAAGGUCCCAGGUUCGAUCCCUGGCUGGCACA
rnacentral:tRNA from 1 species